UAGUCCACGCCGUAAACGAUGAUUACUCGCUGUAGGCGAUACACAGUCUGUGGCUAAGCGAAAGUUUUAAGUAAUCCACCUGGGGAGUACGAUCGCAAGAUUGAAACUCAAAGGAAUUGACGGGGGCCCGCACAAGCGGAGGAACAUGUGGUUUAAUUCGAUGAUACGCGAGGAACCUUACCUGGACUUAAAUGUGCGUUGCAUGGAUCAGAGAUGGAUUCCUUCAGUUCGGCUGGAUUGGAUACAGGUGCUGCAUGGCUGUCGUCAGCUCGUGUCGUGAGAUGUUGGGUUAAGUCCCGCAACGAGCGCAACCCUCGCCUUUAGUUGCCAUCAUUUAGUUGGGCACUCUAAAGGGACUGCCGGUGAUAAGCCGGAGGAAGGUGGGGGAUGGACGUCAAGUCCUCAUGGCCCUUACGGGGCUGGGGCUACACACGUGCUACAAUGGGUAGUGACAAUGGGGCAGGCGAGACCG
rnacentral:rRNA from 1 species